rnacentral:rRNA from 1 species
AUUGAACGCUGGCGGCAUGCCUUACACAUGCAAGUCGAACGGCAGCACGGGAGCAAUCCUGGUGACGAGUGGCGAACGGGUGAGUAAAGUAUCGGAACGUGCCCAGUCGUGGGGGAUAACGUAGCGAAAGUUACGCUAAUACCGCAUACGAUCUAUGGAUGAAAGCGGGGGAUCGCAAGACCUCGCGCGAUUGGAGCGGCCGAUAUCAGAUUAGGUAGUUGGUGGGGUAAAGGCUCACCAAGCCGACGAUCUGUAGCUGGUCUGAGAGGACGACCAGCCACACUGGGACUGAGACACGGCCCAGACUCCUACGGGAGGCAGCAGUGGGGAAUUUUGGACAAUGGGCGAAAGCCUGAUCCAGCCAUGCCGCGUGCAGGAUGAAGGCCUUCGGGUUGUAAACUGCUUUUGUACGGAACGAAAAGGUUUGGGCUAAUAAGCUGAGCUCAUGACGGUACCGUAAGAAUAAGCACCGGCUAACUACGUGCCAGCCGCCGCUGUAACAC